rnacentral:sRNA from 1 species
GAGCGAUCAUAAGGGAGCUGACUGUAAAUCUGCCGUCAUCGACUUCAAGGUUCGACUCGAGCAAUAGUGAGAGAACGUUGCCGCAGGCAACGGUCCGAAGGGUGAGGAGCUUUAGCUCCGAAUAAUCCUUCCCGCUAUAGAA